CCGUAAGGCGCCGAAUGAGUCAUUAAAAAAAUUAACAUCAUCCGAUCCCUAGUCGGCAUAGUUUAUGGUUAAGACUACGACGGUAUCUGAUCGUCUUCGAUCCCCCUAACUUUCGUUCUUGAUUAAUGAAAACAUCCUUGGCAAAUGCUUUCGCAGUAGUUAGUCUUCAAUAAAUCCAAGAAUUUCACCUCUGACAAUUGAAUACUAAUGCCCCCAACUAUCCCUAUUAAUCAUUACGUUGAUCCUAGAAACCAACUAAAAUAGGUUCGAACGUCCUAUUUCAUUAUUCCAUGCUAAUGUAUUCAAGCUAAAGCCUGCUUU
rnacentral:rRNA from 1 species